GAAAUUCCUCGUUAAGGCUGGAAGCUGAACGCAAGGAUCUUUUUAAAAUACAGUCAUCUCUGGUUAAUGAUCAGAUCAGAGGAGCAGCAGCACUCUAGGCUCCACAUUCCUUUUAUUUAUACAAUGCUCUGAUUUACAGAAACUGCUUUAUAGAAAAUUUUGACACAGCCUCUCCCUGGAGAUGAGGAUAAUUUAAGAUUCUGCAUCUGAAGCUAAUUAAACAUAAGAAACAGCAGGUAAUCUGUAUUCAAAUACACACACAUGCAUUGAAAUCUCUGCUUGUCUAUCUUGCAUCUUUGGAAACUGCCUAUUUCAAGCUGAGCUUUUCCUGAACAGGAGUGGAAAGCAGAAUGGAUACGUAUACAGGACGUUGGCACAUUUCUGUAGCAAUACUAGCAUUGAAGCAAACUAAUUUUCAAUAAACUUGAUCACUUUAAACAGGUCAACGACUGUUGAUAUCUUCAUCACUCAUAGCAAUGUUCUGAGUUGCAGCAUUUAUCCAGCCUCACCAUUACGAGGCUCUGCAGUCACCAGAUAAACAAAAUAAAAAUGGUAACCUUCACUUAUUUCUGCAGUGUUCCGUGAAAAUCUUG
ensembl:lncRNA